rnacentral:rRNA from 1 species
UACGUAGGGGGCAAGCGUUGUCCGGAAUCAUUGGGCGUAAAGCGCGUGUAGGCGGUUCGGUAAGUCUGUUGUGAAAGUCCAGGGCUCAACCCUGGGAUGCCGGUGGAUACUGUCGGACUGGAGGCCGGUAGAGGGGGUGGAAUUCCCGGUGUAGUGGUGAAAUGCGUAGAGAUCGGGAGGAACACCUGUGGCGAAGGCGGCCCCCUGGGCCGCGCCUGACGCUGAGACGCGAAGGCUAGGGGAGCGAACGGG